rnacentral:ncRNA from 1 species
AUGACUGUUUAAUUAAAAAAAGCAUUGUGAUGGUCCCUUCAGAUGCUAACAUAAUGUGAUUUAUGCCCAAUGCUCUACAUGUCAAAGUGAUCAGAAACUCAACCAAGCAUGGGUAAAUGAUGGGAGUAACUAUGACUCUCUUAAGGUAGACAUAUGCAUCAUCAUCUAAUUAGUGAUGUGCAUGAAUGGAUUAAUGAGAUUCCCACUGUCCCAAGCUACUAUCUAGAGAAACCAAAACCAAGGGAACGAGAUUGGAAAUAUUAUCGAGGAAAGACGACCCUGUUGAGCUUGACUCUAGUCCAACUUUGUGAAAUGACUUGAGAGGUGUAGAAUAAGUGGUAUUUGUUUUCAACGCAAGUGAAAUAUCACUAUUUUUAACGUCAUUUUACUUAUUUCAUGGGGGAGAGAUGAGGCAUUGCACAUGUGUUAAAAGAUAAUGAACAUUUCCUCAAAGUGUUGUCUUUGAUGGAAAUGGUCGAAAGAUCCUCCUUCACACACCUGAUUACAAUGAGUUUAGAAAACCAAAGAGGAUCAUUACUUUUAAGGAUGAAGAAAAUUCCUAUAACAAUCCCUAUGUCUUUAACCAACAUCCCUCUAUAAGUAUCUAUGUUAUGGUUUCUCCUUGUAAAUUGGUGACUUGAGUCCUCAUAGAAUUAGAGA